GAGUUUGAUCAUGGCUCAGAUUGAACGCUGGCGGCAUGCCUUACACAUGCAAGUCGAACGGCAGCACGGGAGCUUGCUCCUGGUGGCGAGUGGCGAACGGGUGAGUAAUGCAUCGGAACGUGUCCUGGAGUGGGGGAUAACGUAGCGAAAGUUACGCUAAUACCGCAUAUUCUGUGAGCAGGAAAGCGGGGGACCUUCGGGCCUCGCGCUCUUGGAGCGGCCGAUGUCGGAUUAGCUAGUUGGUGAGGUAAAGGCUCACCAAGGCGACGAUCCGUAGCAGGUCUGAGAGGAUGAUCUGCCACACUGGAACUGAGACACGGUCCAGACUCCUACGGAGGCAGCAGUGGGGAAUUUUGGACAAUGGGGGCAACCCUGAUCCAGCCAUGCCGCGUGAGUGAAGAAGGCCUCGGUUGUAAG
rnacentral:rRNA from 1 species